GCGGACGAAGCAUUUUAGUGUGUAAACCCCUUUCGACCCGGACGAAUGCCUCGCAAGAGGAGUGACGGUACGGGUAUAAGAAGCCCCGGCUAACUACGUGCCAGCAGCCGCGGUAAGACGUAGGGGGCCAGCGUUGUUCGGAAUUACUGGGUGUAAAGGGUUCGUAGGCGGUGUGGCAAGUUGGGAGUGAAAUCUCUGGGCUCAACCCAGAGGCUGCUUCCAAAACUGCUGUGCUUGAGUGUGGGAGAGGCGCGUGGAAUUGCAGGUGUAGCGGUGAAAUGCGUAGAUAUCUGCAGGAACACCCGUGGCGAAAGCGGCGCGCUGGACCACAACUGACGCUGAGGAACGAAAGCUAGGGGAGCAAACAGGAUUAGAUACCCUGGUAGUCCUAGCCCUAAACGAUCAGGACUUGGGGUGCCGCACGUUCGUGCGUCGUCCCGGAGCUAACGCGUUAAGUCCUGCACCUGGGGAGUACGGUCGCAAGACUGAAACUCAAAGGAAUUGACG
rnacentral:rRNA from 1 species